CCAAGCUGCUGCUCUGCCUAUGGAGUAGUCAUUCUUUAUUCCUUACUUGCUUUCACUUUAUGAAUUCGUCUCUAAUUCCUUCUUGCACGAGAGCCAAGAACCCUCUCUUGGGGCCUGGAUUGGGACCCCUUUCAGGUAACACAUUUGCUGCUGCCUAGGACUGUGCAUGGAGAGCCACUGUUUUAGGUCACGGUCAUCACAGUCUCUGGAUGGACGCUGUCUCCCAGGGAAGAAGAGUGAGAGCUGAAGUUAAGUGGGAGAACAGAAAUCCAGGCCACCAGCCUCCAUGGCACCUGAUGAGGAUGCAGACCUGCUCUCAGCUCUGCCUACUGAACAUUUAACUGCCGUUUGCAUCCAAACAGGGAGCUCAGAGGAAGCCUCCAGCUCUUUGCAUUCCCCACUUUCAUUCAUCUUUCAGGAAGUCCUAACAGACACAGAGUCUUGAUGGGGGCCUGGAGGGAGCCCUCCAUGGACCCAACAACUGUGAACUUUUCCCUGGCUGGCUUCCUAACGAAUCUGCUUCCUCAAUACUCAGCCACAGCCAAGAAUAUGAGAAAGAACCGGCAUCUUGAAAUUAACAGAGAAUUUUCCCCUUUUGUUUCCUAUCUGAAUUGCUUAGAGUGCUUUACAAAUUAAAGUCAAUAUCGUGGUAUACAACAGAAACACAUACAGGAUCUAAAAAGCUACAAACUGGCUGAGGGUCUUUCUCUCCAGAAAUGAGGAAGAAUGUGAGGAGAAAAAACACCUUAGAACUUUGAUUCAAUAAAAU
rnacentral:lncRNA from 1 species